rnacentral:rRNA from 1 species
UAUGUGAUCGUCUCUCGCAUAUCAAUAAGCGGAGGAAAAGAAAAUAACAAUGAUUUCCCUAGUAACGGCGAGUGAAGAGGAAAGAGCUCAAAGUUGGAAACUGUUUGGCUUAGCUAAACCGUAUUGUAAACUGUAGAAACAUUUUCCUGGCACGCCGGAUUAAUAAGUCCUUUGGAACAAGGCAUCAUGGAGGGUGAGAAUCCCGUCUUUGAUCCGAGUAGUUGUCUUUUGUGAUAUGUUUUCAAAGAGUCAGGUUGUUUGGGAAUGCAGCCUAAAUUGGGUGGUAAAUCUCAUCCUAAAGCUAAAUAUUGGCGAGAGACCGAUAGCGAACAAGUACCGUGAGGGAAAGAUGAAAAGAACUUUGAAAAGAGAGUUAAACAGUACGUGAAAUUGUCAAAAGGGAAGCGUUUGACACCAGUGUUGUUUUUCUGAAAAUCAAUUAAAGAACUGUUUAUGCUAAGCUGUUUAGACUUUAUCAGCUAUCUGUUUAGUUUUGAGCUUUUCUUUAAUGCACUUUUCAGUUAACAAGUCAACAUCAAUUUCUUUUGCUGUAAAAAAGCUUGAGGAAGGUGGCUUGAGAUUCGUCUUAAGUGUUUAUAGCCUCUUGCCUAUGCAGUCGGAGAGAUUGAGGUCUGCAGCGUAGAUCCUUCGGGGCUAAAUGCAUUUGUGCUAAGUUAUAGCAUUUUCAUAGACAACUUGUUGACUAUGAUUUGUCUUGUAGCUUACUCGCUUAUGUUAUUUUACCUACGCUUAGGAUGUUGAAGUCAUCGUAUCGCGC